rnacentral:rRNA from 1 species
CCUACGGGAGGCAGCAGUGAGGAAUCUUCCGCAAUGGGCGAAAGCCUGACGGAGCAACGCCGCGUGGGCGAUGAAGGCCUUCGGGUCGUAAAGCCCUUUUCUGUGGGACGAUAAUGACGGUACCACAGGAAUAAGCCACGGCUAACUACGUGCCAGCAGCCGCGGUAAUACGUAGGUGGCUAGCGUUAUCCGGAUUCACUGGGCGUAAAGAGCGCGUAGGCGGUGUGCUAAGUUGGACGUGAAAGCCCCCGGCUUAACCGGGGGAGGUCGUCCAAUACUGGUGCACUUGAGGGUGGACGGGGAAAGCGGAAUUCCCGGUGUAGGGGUAAAAUGCGUAGAUAUCGGAAGGAACACCAGUGGCGAAGGCGGCUUUCUAGACGGCCACCGACGCUGAGGGACGAAAGCAGGGGGAGCGAACGGGAUUAGAUACC